rnacentral:rRNA from 1 species
UAGAGUUUUGAUCUUGGUUCAGGAUGAACGCUGGCGGCGUGCCUAACACAUGCAAGUCGAGCGAACCCUUCGGGGUGAGCGGCGGACGGGUGAGUAACGCGUGGGUAACCUGCCCUGUACACACGGAUAACAUACCGAAAGGUAUGCUAAUACGGGAUAACAUAUAAGAGUCGCAUGGCUUUUGUAUCAAAGCUCCGGCGGUACAGGAUGGACCCGCGUCUGAUUAGCUAGUUGGUAAGGUAACGGCUUACCAAGGCAACGAUCAGUAGCCGACCUGAGAGGGUGAUCGGCCACAUUGGAACUGAGACACGGUCCAAACUCCUACGGGAGGCAGCAGUGGGGAAUAUUGCACAAUGGGCGAAAGCCUGAUGCAGCAACGCCGCGUGAGCGAUGAAGGCCUUCGGGUCGUAAAGCUCUGUCCUCAAGGAAGAUAAUGACGGUACUUGAGGAGGAAGCCCCGGC